rnacentral:rRNA from 1 species
GACGAACGCUGGCGGCGUGCUUAACACAUGCAAGUCGAACGAUGAAGCCUUCGGGUGGAUUAGUGGCGAACGGGUGAGUAACACGUGGGUGAUCUGCCCUGCACUUUGGGAUAAGCCUGGGAAACUGGGUCUAAUACCGAAUAUGAUCAUGCUCUUCAUGGGGUGUGGUGGAAAGCUUUUGCGGUGUGGGAUGGGCCCGCGGCCUAUCAGCUUGUUGGUGGGGUAAUGGCCUACCAAGGCGACGACGGGUAGCCGGCCUGAGAGGGUGACCGGCCCAACUGGGAGUGAGAUACGGCCCAGACUCGUACGGGAGGCAGCGGUGGGGAAUAUUGCACAAUGGGGGCAAGCCUGAUGCAGCGACGCCGCGUGGGGGAUGACGGCCUUCGGGUUGUAAACCUCUUUCAGCGGGGACGAAGCGAAAGUGACGGUACCUGCAGAAGAAGGACCGGCCAACUACGUGCCAGCCGCCGCGGUAA